rnacentral:tRNA from 1 species
GUCCAGAUCGUCUAGUGGUUAGGAUAUUGCGUUUUGGCCUUAAUAACCCAGGUUCGAAACCUGGUCUGGACA